rnacentral:piRNA from 1 species
UUUGAAAUCAAAACUUGAGAUGUUCUA